GCGCCCGUAGCUCAGCCGGAUAGAGCAACGGAUUUCUAAUCCGUGGGUCGGGUGUUCGAGUCACCCCGGGCGCGCCC
rnacentral:tRNA from 1 species